rnacentral:rRNA from 1 species
AGUGAACGCUGGCGGUAGGCCUAACACAUGCAAGUCGAACGGCAGCACAGUAAGAGCUUGCUCUUACGGGUGGCGAGUGGCGGACGGGUGAGGAAUACAUCGGAAUCUACUUUUUCGUGGGGGAUAACGUAGGGAAACUUACGCUAAUACCGCAUACAACCUACGGGUGAAAGCAGGGGAUCUUCGGACCUUGCGCGAUUGAAUGAGCCGAUGUCGGAUUAGCUAGUUGGCGGGGUAAAGGCCCACCAAGGCGACGAUCCGUAGCUGGUCUGAGAGGAUGAGCAGCCACGCUGGAACUGAGACACGGUCCAGACUCCUACGGGAGGCAGCAGUGGGGAAUAUUGGACAAUGGGCGCAAGCCUGAUCCAGCCAUACCGCGUGGGUGAAGAAGGCCUUCGGGUUGUAAAGCCCUUUUGUUGGGAAAGAAAAGCAGCAGGUUAAUACCCCGCUGUUCUGACGGUACCCAAAGAAUAAGCACCGGCUAACUUCGUG